rnacentral:rRNA from 1 species
GACGUAGGGGGCCAGCGUUGUUCGGAAUUACUGGGUGUAAAGGGUUCGUAGGCGGUGUGGCAAGUCGGGAGUGAAAUCUCUGGGCUCAACCCAGAGUCUGCUUCCGAAACUGCUGUGCUUGAGUGUGGGAGAGGCGCGUGGAAUUGCAGGUGUAGCGGUGAAAUGCGUAGAUAUCAGGAGGAACACCGGUGGCGAAGGCGGGUCUCUGGGCCGUAACUGACGCUGAGGAGCGAAAGCGUGGGGAGCGAACAGG